UGGAUGCCUUGGCACUAGAAGCCGAUGAAGGACGUUACUAACAACGAUAUGCUUUGGGGAGCUGUAAGUAAGCUUUGAUCCAGAGAUUUCCGAAUGGGGAAACCCAGCAUGAGUUAUGUCAUGUUAUCGAUAUGUGAAUACAUAGCAUAUCAGAAGGCACACCCGGAGAACUGAAACAUCUUAGUACCCGGAGGAAGAGAAAGAAAAUUCGAUUCCCUUAGUAGCGGCGAGCGAAACGGGAAGAGCCCAAACCAACAAGCUUGCUUGUUGGGGUUGUAGGACACUCUAUACGGAGUUACAAAGGACGACAUUAGACGAAUCAUCUGGAAAGAUGAAUCAAAGAAGGUAAUAAUCCUGUAGUCGAAAAUGUUGUC
rnacentral:rRNA from 1 species